rnacentral:lncRNA from 1 species
UGCGGCGGGGGCUCCCGGAGUCUGCGCCGCUGCCCCCCUCCCCAACCCCAUACCCACUCCCGCACUCACGGAGCUGAUCGAAGUGGGUGUCGCCCUCGACGCCGGGCACCGAGCACACCAGCCGCGCCUUCAGGAACGUCGUCCACUUGUUGACCAGGCUGCGCUGGCCGCCCACGUCGUUCUGCCGGGACGAUCAAAGGGGAUGAGGGCGAGACCAGGGCAGGCAAAGGGGUAGGGGCAGGGUC